GAUGAACGCUGGCGGCGUGCCUAAUACAUGCAAGUCGAGCGAACAGACGAGGAGCUUGCUCCUCUGACGUUAGCGGCGGACGGGUGAGUAACACGUAGAUAACCUACCUAUAAGACUGGGAUAACUUCGGGAAACCGGAGCUAAUACCGGAUAAUAUAUUGAACCGCAUGGUUCAAUAGUGAAAGACGGUUUUGCUGUCACUUAUAGAUGGAUCCGCGCCGCAUUAGCUAGUUGGUAAGGUAACGGCUUACCAAGGCAACGAUGCGUAGCCGACCUGAGAGGGUGAUCGGCCACACUGGAACUGAGACACGGUCCAGACUCCUACGGGAGGCAGCAGUAGGGAAUCUUCCGCAAUGGGCGAAAGCCUGACGGAGCAACGCCGCGUGAGUGAUGAAGGUCUUCGGAUCGUAAAACUCUGUUAUUAGGGAAGAACAAAUGUGUAAGUAACUAUGCACGUCUUGACGGUACCUAAUCAGAAAGCCACGGCUAACUAUGUG
rnacentral:rRNA from 1 species